rnacentral:tRNA from 1 species
GGUGGCUCAGUGGUAGAGUGCUUGCCUGGCAUGCAUGAGGCUCUGGGUUCAAUUCCUCAGCACCA